rnacentral:tRNA from 1 species
CCUGCCUAAAGCAAGAUACUGAAAAUACCUAGAUGGGUCACGCACCCCAUGGACA